rnacentral:rRNA from 1 species
AUAGGGGAGCCGCAGGGAAACCGAGUCUUAACCGGGCGUUAAGUUGCAGGGUAUAGACCCGAAACCCGGUGAUCUAGCCAUGGGCAGGUUGAAGGUUGGGUAACACUAACUGGAGGACCGAACCGACUAAUGUUGAAAAAUUAGCGGAUGACCUGUGGCUGGGGGUGAAAGGCCAAUCAAACCGGGAGAUAGCUGGUUCUCCCCGAAAGCUAUUUAGGUAGCGCCUCGUGAACUCAUCUUCGGGGGUAGAGCACUGUUUCGGCUAGGGGGUCAUCCCGACUUACCAACCCGAUGCAAACUGCGAAUACCGGAGAAUGUUAUCACGGGAGACACACGGCGGGUGCUAACGUCCGUCGUGAAGAGGGAAACAACCCAGACCGCCAGCUAAGGUCCCAAAGUCAUGGUUAAGUGGGAAACGAUGUGGGAAGGCCCAGACAGCCAGGAUGUUGGCUUAGAAGCAGCCAUCAUUUAAAGAAAGCGUAAUAGCUCACUGGUCGAGUCGGCCUGCGCGGAAGAUGUAACGGGGCUAAACCAUGCACCGAAGCUGCGGCAGCGACGCUUAUGCGUUGUUGGGUAGGGGAGCGUUCUGUAAGCCGUUGAAGGUGGCCUGUGAGGGUUGCUGGAGGUAUCAGAAGUGCGAAUGCUGACAUAAGUAACGAUAAAGCGGGUGAAAAGCCCGCUCGCCGGAAGACCAAGGGUUCCUGUCCAACGUUAAUCGGGGCAGGGUGAGUCGACCCCUAAGGCGAGGCCGAAAGGCGUAGUCGAUGGGAAACAGGUUAAUAUUCCUGUACUCGGUGUUACUGCGAAGGGGGGACGGAGAAGGCUAUGUUGGCCGGGCGACGGUUGUCCCGGUUUAAGCAUGUAGGCGGGUGUUCCAGGUAAAUCCGGAACGCUGUUAACGCUGAGGUGUGAUGACGAGGCACUACGGUGCUGAAGCAACAAAUGCCCUGCUUCCAGGAAAAGCCUCUAAGCAUCAGGUAACAUCAAAUCGUACCCCAAACCGACACAGGUGGUCAGGUAGAGAAUACCAAGGCGCUUGAGAGAACUCGGGUGAAGGAACUAGGCAAAAUGGUGCCGUAACUUCGGGAGAAGGCACGCUGAUGGUAGGUGAAGUGAUUUACUCAUGGAGCUGAAAUCAGUCGAAGAUACCAGCUGGCUG